GGACACACGGGCCCUGUGCUGUCUCAGCUGAGAGGUCCCCAUCUACUGACUCACUCGCACCUGGGGCUUCUUGGCUGGUCAUCUGGAAAGGUACAAACUGAAGUUUUCUUUAUCCAAGGCAAUCUUUUAGAAGUCACCCUACGUUUCUUCAAAGUGUCUGGACGCAGUGUGGAGCGUGGUUUAUUUCGUCCAUGUUGCGGCAGCCUGUGUUGGAACUCGCUGAGGUUUGAAGCCUGUCAUCAACAUACAGACUGACAUGAACUUUCAAUGGGAGUCACAGAGGGCUGUACGGGCAAACAGGAGAAAUGACAGGGUACCAAAGACCGCCCUGUCAGCUGAAGGGCACCCUGGAUGCCUGUCUCUGAGCCCUCACACUCCUGUAACCUGUGAAGAGUGGGCAAGCAGAACAGGUGAUGGGUCAUGCAUCUUCCUGACACACUGUGAAGCAGGAAGAAACAGGAACAGUAGCUCUGUGUUACACGUGAGGAGCGAGAAGCACCAACAUGGGUCUUCAUUCUGGAUUUCAUCUUCAAUAUGGAUCCACAGGCUUUAAGAACAUAACGCUUUCUAAAGAGCUCCAGCAAUGGAAACAGCUGUCAGCUCUUCCACCAAAGAUGCUCAAACCAUCACGCUGUCACAUUUAAAUAUAAGAAGCCCCCAAUAUGGAAGAAGACAUCGCUUCUGGUUACCGUCUUGUGUGUGCUAGCUCUCUUUCACUAAUGUCCACUUAAAAAAUAUACAUCAUAACUUGAGCACAGCGGCACAUGCUUUUAAUCCCAGCACCUGGGAGGCAGAGGCAGGCGGGUCCCUGAGAUUUGAGGCCAACCUGGUCUACAGAGUGAGUUCCAGGACAGCAGGGGCUAUAUAGUUAAACCAUCCAUGUUUUGAAGAAACAAGCAAGUGUAUAUUAUUUACUUAUAUUACAUAUUACAUUGUGCAUAUAUAGUAUAUAUGCAUCAUAGUAAUCUGUCCAUCCCAUACAUUGAAUGAAUUGAUAUUUCAAUCUCCCAAAAAUCUGG